GUUGCCUAUGAUGAGUUGCAGAAUUAUUGCCUACAUUGUUUGACAAGUAUCCCUAUGAUAACAAUUGCAACAGCUGAGGCAUAC
rnacentral:snoRNA from 1 species